GUCUGUGUCUGUCUGUGUGAUGCUUUGGCCGGGGACAGAACAGGAAUGGAGUCUUAGAAUUUAGUAUUUUACAAACACUAACUGAGUCCCACAAAACCCGUGUGUGGUAGAGAAGGUGUAUAUAUACCUACCCCUGAAAUGCCAGCUCAUCUGGGAGGAAGCAUAGCCCAUGUGAAAAUGAAUAGCACUAGUACACAAAUAUUGGACAAAGUAAAGAAAAAUACCAUAAAUAACUGAAACUGCAGGAGGAAUUUAAGAUGAAAUAUCAGACUGCAGAGGAUGAAGCCAAGAGAGUAGAAACAAGAGAACACAAAUAAACAUCAAUUUAAAUGAAAAAGAAAAGA